rnacentral:misc_RNA from 1 species
AACGCACAUUGCGCCCCUUGGUAUUCCGGGGGGCAUGCCUGUUCGAGCGUCAUUUCAACCCUCACGCGUAGCGUGGUCUUGGGCUCUGCCGGCAACGGCUGGCCUUAAAAUCAGUGGCGGUGCCAUCGGGCUCUACGCGUAGUAAUAAACCCCUCGCGUGUGAGUCUCGGCGGUCGCUUGCCAGCAACCCCCAAUUUUCUAUGGUUGACCUCGAAUCAGGUAGGGAUACCCGCUGAACUUAA